UGGCUGGACUUGGACAUUUCUUGG
rnacentral:piRNA from 1 species